CACUUGUUUGCGGAAGUUGAUGUGAAAGAGCGCUUCCUUCUCCGCACGCGCUUCGGAUCUCUGAUACUCUGCAUAACAUCACUAAAGUGUCCUGAUUCUUUACACCUCUUAUAAUGAAAUCAGAGUCCAGACGCCGCUCUUUAGGAAAAUCUCCACAGACUCCUGCUGCUACUGGCUCAAAGAUGUACCACUGUUCAGAUUGUGGGAAGAGUUUUACUAAAAGUCAUCAUCUCAAAGAUCACAAGCGGAUCCACACAGGAGAGAAG